GACGAACGCUGGCGGCGUGCUUAACACAUGCAAGUCGAACGAAGUGGCGAACGGGUGAGUAACGCGUAAUCAACCUGCCCUUCAGAGGGGGACAACAGUUGGAAACGACUGCUAAUACCGCAUACUGAAGGAGGGGAUUGCGGCUGAUUAGCUAGUUGGGGGGGUAACGGCCCACCAAGGCGAUGAUCAGUAGCCGGUCUGGGGGGCUGAACGGCCACCAUGGGACUGGGACACGGCCCAGACUCCUACGGGAGGCAGCAGUGGGGAAACUUCCGCAAUGGGCGAAAGUCUGACGGAGCAACGCCGCGUGGGUGGUGACGGCCUUCGGGUUUUAAAGCUCUGUUAAUCGGGACGCGGUACCGGAAUAGAAAGCAACGGCUAACUACGUGCCAGCCGCCGCGGUAAUUC
rnacentral:rRNA from 1 species